UAAGGAAUAUUGGUCAAUGGACGCAAGUCUGAACCAGCCAUGCCGCGUGAAGGAUGAAGGUCCUCUGGAUUGUAAACUUCUUUUAUCUGGGACGAAAACGGGAUUUUUAUCUCAAUUGACGGUACCAGAGGAAUAAGCACCGGCUAACUCCGUGCCAGCAGCCGCGGUAAUACGGAGGGUGCGAGCGUUAUCCGGAUUUACUGGGUUUAAAGGGUGCGUAGGUGGGCUUAUAAGUCAGUGGUGAAAUCUCCGAGCUUAACUUGGAAACUGCCGUUGAUACUAUAGGUCUUGAAUUAUCUGGAGGUAAGCGGAAUAUGUCAUGUAGCGGUGAAAUGCUUAGAUAUGACAUAGAACACCAAUGGCGAAGGCAGCUUACUACAUAUAAAUUGACGCUGAGGCACGAAAGCGUGGGGAUCAAAC
rnacentral:rRNA from 1 species